rnacentral:lncRNA from 1 species
AAAGAGAGUUCUCAUCGUGGUGCAGCAGAAAUGAAUCCGACUAGGAGCCAUGAGGUUGCAGGUUUGAUCCCUGGCCUUGCUCAGUGGGUUAAGGAUCUGGCAUUGCCAUAAGCUAUGGUGUAGGUCUCAGAUGUGGUUUGGAUCCCACAUUGCUGUAGGCUGACAGCUGUAGCUCUGAUUGGACCCCUAGCCUGGGAACCUCCAUAUGCCUCAGAUGCAGCCCUAAAAAGAGAAAAGACAAAAAAAAAAAAAAAAAAAGAAAAUGUUUGGAUUCUUUCCUUUAUUAUAAUUUCAGAUAUAUGAAAAAUCACCGAAGAGUUUGCUAAUACAUAAUGGUUUGUGAUUUUUUUUUUGCUGUUGGAGGAAUAUAAACUUCCUACAGGCCUGAGAACGACAGGAUCCUUUGAACCAAGGGUCAAAACAAUGAGAGGUGGUUUUUUCACUGCAAUAGAGGCAGCAAGUUGUUUGUUAUGAGAUUAUGUGAGACUUUCCCUGGAGAGGAAUACAAUCAAGUUAUUGAAGUGCUGUGUAAUUUUAGAUAGUGAAACCAAAAAUAAUGUCUUUUUGAUAGUUUCAGGGUGGGCAUAGAGUUGGAUUCAGGUGAAUGGACAUGGAUUGAAUCUCUAUGAUGAAGGUAAUCAUUAUACUUGGAAAGCCCUCGUUGCUGUUUAGGACGAUUAACUGUUUUAUUUAUUGGUUUGUUUGUUUAUUUAUUUAUUUAUUUUUGUCUUUUUAGGGCCACACAGAUGAAUAGAAAAUUAAAUCUAGGUGGUGUGUGGAAUUGACUUUGAAUUUAUCAUUUAUUAAGAGAGCUCAGUGGCUGCUCUAAUUACAAUGGUUGGGAAAUUUGAUCAUUGGUGAAAUGAAACAUGAAGCUGUUCCAGUCUCAUGAAGAAACCACUUGGUGUGGUCCAUGGAAGGUCAAUAUGACAAUUACCUCUUGUCCACAGGAGGCUUAGUGGGACAAGAGCUCACUUAAAUUCUGGCUGCCUCCAGGUUCACAGCUGGCAUCAGCACACUGACUGGAGAGUCUUGAGGUCCCAGCUAAGUCCACAGCACCAACUCUGCUGUGACAGUGGGAAGAACUGGAAUUUCAAACUGGUGAGUAAUCUACAAGUGUUUUCACUACACAUGCUCAGCAGAAAGGAAUGUGGACUUGAAGUACAAUCACAGAGCCCUUGCCAUCCUGUCC